GACGGAGGAUGCAAGCGUUAUCCGGAAUUAUUGGGCGUAAAGCGUCCGUAGGCGGUUUCAAAAGUCUGUUGUUAAAGCCCACAGCUCAACUGUGGAUCGGCAAUGGAAACUGUGAGACUAGAGAGUGGUAGGGGUAGAGGGAAUUCCUAGUGUAGCGGUGAAAUGCAUAGAUAUGUCUCAGAACACCGAUUGCGAAGGCAGCUUACUAUGGUUCUAUUGACGCUGAGGCACGAAAGCGUGGGGAUCGAACAGG
rnacentral:rRNA from 1 species